AGGCGUGUGCACCCAGCUUGGUCAGCAGCAUGUGCCUAAUUCAGAAAUCAGGCAGCAAGAUUUCCUCGCCAGUUGGUCCUCCUUUUCCGAAGAGGAACCGCGGGACAAGCUUGGGGAUGUCGGGGGUCAAAGGGAAGUGGCCUACGUGCGAGUCUCAUUAAGGACCAAUUUAGAGAGCUGAGGACUUCUCCUGCCUGAUCAAACAAUAGAGGAAUCAGAGCCAAAGUCUUUCAACUUUUAAAUAGGGCUUAGCCUCACCAGCCUUACAUCUGAAAACAGGCCAUAUUAAUAUAUUGUCCUCUGAAACAUUUGGGAUAAGUCUUCUGAAAGUCUCAAUUAUUAUUAUUAUUAAAAUUACAUAAAACAUUAGAAUGACUCUAUUUCACAUUUGCCCUGUCCUAUAAAAUGUUAACAUAUAGUUUAAAAAGUCUUCAAGUCUUUACUUUUGCCAAUUCAGUUCAAAAUGUCCUGAUGGAGAAUGUAAUAUCUGUAAAAUGUAUUCACUUAAUAUAUAAUAAUUAUAUAUAAUGAUAAUAAAAUAAAGAAACACUAAAUAUUAUUGGUGUAGGCAUAAUUUGUUCUGAAAAACUAUAUUUUUCACUAAUAUCCUAAACUGAUUCGGUAACUGAGAAAGUGUAACUAUUCAAUUAGAAAGUCAGUUAUUGUCUGUUUUAUUGUUAUUAUCAUUGUGUUAAUUUCUAAAAAUACAAUAAAAUAAUGAUCUUGA